rnacentral:rRNA from 1 species
GACGGAGGGCGCAAGCGUUAAUCGGAUUUAUUGGGCGUAAAGGGCGCGUAGGUGGGAAUGUAAGUCGGAUGUGAAAUCCCGGGGCUCAACUCCGGAACGGCAUUCGAAACUACAUUCCUUGAGGGUAGAAGGAGAGAACGGAAUUCCACGUGUAGCGGUGAAAUGCGUAGAUAUGUGGAAGAACACCGGUGGCGAAGGCGGUUCUCUAUUUUAUUCCUGACACUGAGGCGCGAAAGCAAGGGGAUCAAACAGG